ensembl:lncRNA LINC01944 long intergenic non-protein coding RNA 1944
GCCAUUCUGGUCUCGUGCCGCAGCAGGCAUUGCUAGAUGAUUGCCGUCAUGGCUCAUACUAACAAUAAAUAGGUCCUCCCGGGGACCCACCACCCAAACUCCUUGUGCCGGGAACAGCUACUAAAGGGGAGGCCCUUUCCAUAUUCCGCUUCAUUCUCCCCUCCUGGCGUGCCUCAAGGAACGACCACUGUCCCCAGGUUACAGGUGCUUCUUCACCCCAACAAGGCUCAAUCAAGUGUGUUCUUCUCUGGGAAGCUGCAGACAUCUGACCCCAGGCCACAGAGUCAUACCCAGUCUGGCUCCCACAGCCCUCCCAGGCUGUCUGGUGUCAGUGCAGUGCUGUGGAUGGGAACACACCUCUACCAUGUUGAGCUGCUCUGAGGUUUAAAUGCGUUACUGCUAAUUGGGAUCUUGGAACAACUCCUGGUGCAUAAUAAGGAAGCCGACAUAAAGAGAGGGAAAGCCCAAGGACACGCAGCUUUGAAGUAACAGACCCAGGAGAUGAAUGAACCUGGUCCUUCCAGCUCAAGACGUUGCACUAUUCACCACUCUGCUCAGGCACUGCAAACCAGAGGCCUGGCCACAGCUUGCCCAUGAACUCGUGUGCUUAUUUAUCUGGCUGGUAAUUGUUCACACAUGCAUGCUGUGUACACGUGUGCACACACCUACACACACACCCCUCAGGAGCAUAAGCUCCAUGCUAAUGAGCACUUCGCAUGUCUUGUUGCCGGCACGUGACUCAAAUACGUGCUUCUUACUGACUGAAUGCCUAUGCCCCUCCCCCAAACUCAUGCUGAAGCCUUAACACCUGUGGUGAGUGUAUUUGGAGACAGGGCCUUUAGUAAGUAGGUAAGGUUGAAUGAGGUCACGAGGGUGGGGUCCUGAUCCAAUAGGAUUAGUGUCUUCAACAGCAGAGACACCAGAGAACUCACUGCCCUCCCUCCAUGCAUGCACAGAGAAGAGUCCAAGUGAGGACAUUGCCAGAAGGUGGCCGUCUGCAAGCCAGGAAGGGAGCCCUCACCAGAACCCAGCCCAGACCUUGACCUGAGACUUCCAGCCUUCAGAACUGUGCAAAAAUACAUUUCUGUUGUUUGAGCCACCCAGUCCGUGGUAAUUGGUGGUGACAGCCGGAGCUGACUAAUACAGUGCUCAAUACAUUUUUGUUGUGCUGCACAGAUCUAGUUUGGUGCACACUAUUUUUAAAAAGAGAAUUUUUUUAGCUAGAAAAGAAGAGUUAUAAUGUUCCAACACAAAGAAAAGAUCAAUGUUGGAGAUGAUGGCUAUCCUUAAUACCCUGAUGUGAUCAUUACAUAUGGUAUGAGUGUAUCAAAAUAUCACAUGAACCCCCAAAAUAUGCACAACUAUUAUACACCAAUAAAGAAAUUUUUAAGAG